UACCUUUGAACCCACUUCAAG
rnacentral:misc_RNA from 1 species